rnacentral:lncRNA from 1 species
CAUAAACUCAAUGGUACACCGGCACACUUCCCUUAGGAACGGCCAAAAUAAGAAUUUUCUGUCCCCGGGAUCAAUGUCCUGCGGUUUAUGGAACAAGUUUUUCUUGCUUCUUCAAAAUCAAAUGAAUUUGAAGAAUCAUAUGAAACAGGUUUUCUCGUUUCUUCAAAAUCAAAUGAAUUUGAAGAAUCAUAUGAAACAGGUUACAGCAUUUAAUAGAGGGGGAGAUGAAUCGCGAACAUCAUAGCAUCCCAAGUUGUUCUGUCUUAAAUAAUCUUCAGAUUGCACUGAAAGAGGCCCACCAAAUCUGCGGAGCAAUUUGGUAAUCAAUAAUUAGCAGGCCUAACCCCAU